GACGAACCGUGCGAACGUUAUUCGGAAUCAUUGGGCUUAAAGGGUGCGUAGGCGGGCUCGUGAGUCAGGGGUGAAAUCCCACGGCCCAACCGUGGAAGUGCCUCUGAUACCGCGGGCCUCGAGGGGGAUAGGGGCGUGCGGAACUUCCGGUGGAGCGGUGAAAUGCGUAGAUAUCAAGUGGAACACCAGUGGCGAAGGCGAGUCUCUGGACAUUUCCUGACGCUGAGGCACGAAAGCCAGGGGAGCAAACGGG
rnacentral:rRNA from 1 species